AUUGAACGCUGGCGGCAGGCCUAACACAUGCAAGUCGAGCGGAUGAAGGGAGCUUGCUCCUGGAUUCAGCGGCGGACGGGUGAGUAAUGCCUAGGAAUCUGCCUGGUAGUGGGGGAUAACGUCCGGAAACGGGCGCUAAUACCGCAUACGUCCUGAGGGAGAAAGUGGGGGAUCUUCGGACCUCACGCUAUCAGAUGAGCCUAGGCCGGAUUAGCUAGUUGGUGGGGUAAAGGCCUACCAAGGCGACGAUCCGUAACUGGUCUGAGAGGAUGAUCAGUCACACUGGAACUGAGACACGGUCCAGACUCCUACGGGAGGCAGCAGUGGGGAAUAUUAGACGAUGGGCGAAAGCCUGAUCCAGCCAUGCCGCGUGUGUGAAGAAGGUCUUCGGAUUGUAAAGCACUUUAAGUUGGGAGGAAGGGCAGUAAGUUAAUACCUUGCUGUUUUGACGUUACCAACAGAAUAAGCACCGGCUAACUUCGUG
rnacentral:rRNA from 1 species